UCCGAGGGGAUGCAGCAGCAAUUCAUGUUUUGAAGGGCUUUAAAUGGUUCAAAACGUGAGGCGCUGCUAUACCCCCUCGC
ensembl:miRNA MIR424 microRNA mir-424